ACAGCAGGAAGGAGCAGCUGGACUUGGCUAAGAAAAAGCUAAAGCAGGCCAAGAAAGAAGCCAAAGGGAGCUCAGGAAACAAGCUGUUUAUGUCGUGGAGAAGAACAAGAAAGCUGUGCAGAGGUGAGGAACAGCUGCUGAAGAUGGAGGUUCAGGCUACAGACAGAGAGGAGAACAAACAGAUCGCCGUGAGCACCUCCAAAUUCAACUACCGUGGCCUGGUGUAAGAACAUGGAGGUGACACUGGAAAAAAUGUAUAACAAAACCUUAAAGGAUAAGUUUGCCUGGGCUAUCGACAUGACUGAACAUGACGUUGUGUUCCG